AGAGCGUUUGUUCCUCCUCACAACCUCGCUUCCUGGUGGUCCUCUCAGCCCACGUCACCAGGCCACCACCUGCCACCAGGCUUUUCCCUGUUGAUGUCUUGAAGAACCAUUCUGAAAAUAGUUUCCUACCAGAUACGUAAGCUUAUAAUCAGAAAAGGCACUAUAUGUAAUUUGUACAAAGGAAAAAUCGACAGCCAUGGAUAUAGAUCUAUAAACACACGGGAGACUGGGCUGUCCACCAGGUGCUCCUGCUGUUUAUAGACUAUGCUGAUGAGCAGAAAUCAAGCUGUUCUCCCAAAAGAAAACCACACUGGACUUCCCGGCGUGAAUAGCAGGCCAGGAGCUCUCCAGCACCAGAGUCAGAGCCACGGGCUCAGGGCCCAGACAGCCAACCAACACAGCUGCCAUGUCCAGAGACUUCAGCCACAGCCGGCGUCUGUGGGACAUCACAUGAGGGCCGGGUCACUGCAAAGGAGAGUCUCAGAGACACUGGGGACAGAGCUUUGUGGGGGACCAGUGACAGCAUUCGGUGCUGGGAGGUUCUCACCAGAGUGGAGCAGGCCCCUAGUUGAGCGGCCCUCGCAGAGCCAUCCAGAGCUCUGUCUGGACCAGGGACCCAGCUGCGCCCACCUGCCAGGAGGGGUCCCACUCAGGCAGCCAGUGCCAGUCCCCCUGACAAAGAGGCUGUCAUAGGCACCAGCGAGUCACACGUAGGGUCAGGGGGCCUAUGGAGACCCUACCCAGACCCAGAUGGGGCCCACGCCUUCUCUGCCCAUGGCCAGCGCCCCCUCCAUGCUCCACACACACGGAAAGGAAACCCUGCAGCUGGGCUGAUGUGGCCGACCCAGCCAGCCUGGUUCUCACUCCUGGUGGGGGUCUCCCGUGCCC